rnacentral:tRNA from 1 species
AAAUCUUAGCUAUAAGGCAUUUUGAUUUCGGCUCAAAAAGAAUGACUCGUCAUAAGAUUUA